AUGGAGGCCGGCGAUCAUGAAGGGCACUGGAACGAGGACGGCACGUGCUUGCCGCACUGGUUGACGAGCACCGAGAUGGCGACGGGGAGCACGAGCUUGACGUUCAGCGCCUUGGCCUUGAUGGUGGUGCAGAGGCAGAGCGCGGCGUCGAGGUCGGCCACGCCGGACAGCAGCGGGCAGCAGGUCUCGCUGGCGUUGGCGCCCACCACCGCGUGCACCAGCCCGUUGAGCGCGUCCACGCACGCCACCAGCUUCAGCACGUCCACGGGGCACUUGCCCGUCGGCGACGACGGCGCCGGAGGGCUAGGCGUCGCCGGCGUCGGGGGCGUCGGCGCGGGGGAGUACGGCGGCGGAGGGCACGGCACCGACGACGGCGGGGGCGGGGGCUUCACCUUCGGCGGCGGCGGCGGGGGAGGCGUCGUCGGGGUCGGGCAGCUGGGGCACGCCGACGAGGGCACGGACAGCACGGAGAGCAGCGCCACCAGCACGAGCGGCGCAAUGCGGGCCAUGGUGCCUGGCUAG
rnacentral:rRNA from 1 species